rnacentral:rRNA from 1 species
AACGUAGGUUCCGAGCGUUAUCCGGAUUUACUGGGCGUAAAGCGCGUUCAGGCGGUUUGGCAAGUCGGGCAUGAAAUCUCUCGGCUCAACCGGGAGAGGUUGUCCGAUACUGCUGGACUGGAGGGCAGUAGAGGGUGGUGGAAUUCCGGGUGUAGUGGUGAAAUGCGUAGAGAUCCGGAGGAACACCAGUGGCGAAAGCGGCUUCCUGGUCCAGCACCGACGUC